AUGGCUAGCAACGAUGAAGGACAGGGUUCUGGUGAUUGCGACGAUGUCUACCGGGUGGCAGACGAAUUUUUUAGCCUUGCCGACGAUCAACCAAUGUUGUUGCUGGGCCCACCGGUGGCAUCGAGGACUGAGACCGACACACAGACCGGUGCUGAGACUGAGACCGGUGCUGAGACUCAGACCGGCAUCGAGACCGGCGCUGAGACUGAGACCGGCGCUGCCUCGGGGAGCGGAGCCGGUGUAGAACCGAAAGCAAAGAGGCAACGGCUUCCUAACAAACUCAGGACUACUAGACUGGUGGUCACGGAGGUGGACGACGGCAAUUUUGAGCCAAAGGCGCCCGAGGAAGCGCGUCGAUGCUACGACAAUCAAAUAGGCUGCAUCGUACGGACAACCGCCACCAUCAACGACGAGAAACUACAGAAGAUAGAAAAUAUGAGGAGCUCCCUCCUAAAGAAGUUUCACCAGAUAUUCUUGUUCCCGGGCCGGAAUGAGAAGGAUUAUGAAGAUCCAGAUGAGGACCCGGCAAUGAAGAAGAUAAACAAACACGCCAUGACCAAGUUUAGCGACGCGUUGGCCGUCUGGAAAAAUCAAGUGAAAGCAAAGAUCAUCGACAAGAAGGAACCCUACUCUGAGAUUGUAAAGGAUAAUCCGACAAUCACGGAAGAGCAGUUUCAAAUAUUUAAGGAGGCUUGCGAGGCCGAAGCUGCCAGAAAAAAGUCUAAGUACAUGAAGGGGCUUCAAGAGAGGAACAUUGGGAGCCACCACCUCGGAAGCCGUGGUUACGGCGGAAAAAGGUCCAAAUGA
rnacentral:rRNA from 1 species